GACCGAUAGUGAACAAGUACCGUGAGGGAAAGGUGAAAAGAACCCCGCAAGGGGAGUGAAAUAGAAUCUGAAACCGUUUGCAUACAAACCGUUGGAGCUGCCUUGUGCAGUGACAGCGUGCCUUUUGAAGAAUGAGUCUACGAGUUAGUGUGAUGUGGCAAGGUUAACCCGUCGAGGGGAAGCCGUAGCGAAAGCGAGUCUGAAUAGGGCGAAUAAGUCGCAUCAUCUAAACCCGAAGCGAGGUGAUCUCGCCAUGACCAGGUUGAAGCGCGGGUAAGACCGCGUGGAGGACCGAACCCACUAAAGUUGAAAAUUUAGGGGAUGAGUUGUGGCUAGGGGUGAAAGACCAAUCAAACUUCGUGAUAGCUGGUUCUCUCCGAAAUGCAUUUAGGUGCAGCGUCACGUGUUUCUUACUGGAGGUAGAGCUACUGGAUGGCCGAGGGGUCCUACAAGAUUACCAACGUCAGCCAAACUCCGAAUGCCAGUAAGUGAGAACGUGGCAGUGAGACAGUGGGGGAUAAGCUUCAUUGUCGAGAGGGAAACAACCCAGAACAGCAACUAAGGUCCCAAAGCCUGUGCUAAGUGGAAAAGGAUGUGAAGUCGCAUAGACAACCAGGAGGUUGGCUUAGAAGCAGCCACCCUUAAAAGAGUGCGUAAUAGCUCACUGGUCAAGUGAUUUCGCGCCGACAAUGUAACGGGGCUCAAGCACAGCACCGAAGUUCUGUCAUUCACACACUAUCCCGGUCGCAAGAUCCAGGAGUGUGGAUGGGUAGGAGAGCGUUGUGUAACUAGUGAAGCGGCGGAGGAAUCCAGCCGUGGAAGUUACACAAGUGAGAAUGUAGACAUGAGUAGCGAAAGACGGGUGAGAAACCCGUCCACCGAAUGACCAAGGGUUCCUGAGCCAGGCUAAUCCGCUCAGGGUAAGUCGGGUCCUAAGGCGAGGCCGACAGGCGUAGUCGAUGGACAACUGGUUGAUAUUCCAGUACCCGCAAUAAACCGACCGUGACGAAUCAAUAAUGCUAAGUGUUUGAAGUUGGCUAGCAAUAGCUGAUGGAGCGCACGACCCAAGUUGGUAGUAGUCAAGCAAUGGAGAGACGCAGGAAGGUAGUCCAACCCAGGCGAUGGUUGACCUGGGGUAAGAGUGUAGGAGGUUCUGUAGGCAAAUCCGCAGAACAAUCUCUGAGACUUAAUGCCGAGCCGUAAGGCGAAGUGGAUGAUCCUAUGCUGCCAAGAAAAUCUUCUAGCGAGGUUUAUAGUGGCCCGUACCCGAAACCGACACAGGUGGUCAGGUAGAG
rnacentral:rRNA from 1 species